rnacentral:misc_RNA from 1 species
GAUGAAGAACGUAGCGAAAUGCGAUACGUAAUGUGAAUUGCAAAUUCAGUGAAUCAUCGAGUCUUUGAACGCAAAUUGCGCCCCCUGGUAUUCCGGGGGGCAUGCCUGUCCGAGCGUCAUUGCUGCCCUCAAGCACGGCUUGUGUGUUGGGCCCCGUCCUCCGAUCCCGGGGGACGGGCCCGAAAGGCAGCGGCGGCACCGCGUCCGGUCCUCGAGCGUAUGGGGCUUUGUCACCCGCUCUGUAGGCCCGGCCGGCGCUUGCCGAUCAACCCAAAUUUUUAUCCAGGUUGACCUCGGAUCAGGUAGGGAUACCCGCUGAACUUAAGCAUAUCAAUAAGCAGAGGA